rnacentral:rRNA from 1 species
GCAUAUCAAUAAGCGGAGGAAAAGAAACCAACAGGGAUUGCCCCUAGUAACGGCGAGUGAAGCGGCAACAGCUCAAAUUUGAAAUCUGGCCCUAGGUCCGAGUUGUAAUUUGCAGAGGAUGCUUUUGGCGCGGUGCCUUCCGAGUUCCCUGGAACGGGACGCCAUAGAGGGUGAGAGCCCCGUCUGGUCGGAUACCUAGCCUCUGUAAAGCUCCUUCGACGAGUCGAGUAGUUUGGGAAUGCUGCUCAAAAUGGGAGGUAUAUGUCUUCUAAAGCUAAAUACCGGCCAGAGACCGAUAGCGCACAAGUAGAGUGAUCGAAAGAUGAAAAGCACUUUGAAAAGAGGGUUAAAUAGUACGUGAAAUUGUUGAAAGGGAAGCGCUUGUGACCAGACUUGGGCUUGGUGAAUCACCCGGCGUUCUCGCCGGGGCACUUUGCCAGUCCAGGCCAGCAUCAGUUCGCCGCGGGGGAUAAAGGCUUCGGGAAUGUGGCUCUUCGGAGUGUUAUAGCCCGUUGCGUAAUACCCUGGGGUGGGCUGAGGUUCGCGCUCCGCAAGGAUGCUGGCGUAAUGGUCAUCAGCGACCCGUCUUGAAACACGGACCAAGGAGUCGUCUUCGUAUGCGAGUGUUCGGGUGUCAAACCCCUACGCGUAAUGAAAGUGAACGCAGGUGAGAGCUUCGGCGCAUCAUCGACCGAUCCUGAUGUUCUCGGAUGGAUUUGAGUAAGAGCAUACGGGGCCGGACCCGAAAGAAGGUGAACUAUGCCUGUAUAGGGUGAAGCCAGAGGAAACUCUGGUGGAGGCUCGCAGCGGUUCUGACGUGCAAAUCGAUCGUCAAAUAUGGGCAUGGGGGGCGAAAGACUAAUCGAACCUUCUAGUAGCUGGUUUCCGCG